rnacentral:rRNA from 1 species
CUGCGCAGCUUACACAUGCAGUCGAACGGAAUCUUCGGAUUUAGUGGCGGACGGGUGAGUAACGCGUGAGAAUCUAGCUCUAGGUCGGGGACAACCACUGGAAACGGUGGCUAAUACCGGAUGUGCCGAAAGGUGAAAGAUUUAUUGCCUAGAGAUGAGCUCGCGUCUGAUUAGCUAGUUGGUGUGGUAAGAGCGCACCAAGGCGACGAUCAGUAGCUGGUCUGAGAGGAUGAUCAGCCACACUGGGACUGAGACACGGCCCAGACUCCUACGGGAGGCAGCAGUGGGGAAUUUUCCGCAAUGGGCGAAAGCCUGACGGAGCAAUACCGCGUGAGGGAGGAAGGCUCUUGGGUUGUAAACCUCUUUUCUCAGGGAAUAAGAAAGUGAAGGUACCUGAGGAAUAAGCAUCGGCUAACUCCGUGCCAGCAGCCGCGGUAAUACGGAGGAUGCAAGCGUUAUCCGGAAUGAUUGGGCGUAAAGCGUCCGCAGGUGGCACUGUAAGUCUGCUGUUAAAGAGCAAGGCUCAACCUUGUAAAGGCAGUGGAAACUACAGAGCUAGAGUACGUUCGGGGCAGAGGGAAUUCCUGGUGUAGCGGUGAAAUGCGUAGAAAUA